rnacentral:lncRNA from 1 species
AAAUGUCUAAAUUGAAUAAUAUACACAAACCACUUGAUACAACCAUUCAUGUUAAAAAGAUUACAUAUAGAAUAUAUAUUAAUCAAGAUAUUUAGUACAAGACUGAUUCUGUAUAAUUCAGUCGUCCAAGACUCUUCUUUUAUAAUAAUUUAGUGCAAUACAAUUCACUACAAUGUAGCCGUACACGAUUCUAUUAAUUACAAAUCUGAAUUCUAAAAUUCCUUUUACUAAUCUAUUAUUACAAUUUCGUAUUUUAAUACUUUUUUUAUAAGUAAAUGACUAACCAAUUCAUCCAAUCGUUCGUUAAGUCUCUCCUACAACAAAGCCUUAGACCAUGACUAACCAACACAUCCCAUCUUUCUUUGCAAACUGCUUAUCGUGAAGUUUAGUAAUAAAAAAGUAAUCUACUUCUCACCAGUAAUGUCCUAUAGGAAUGACAUGAAACAUAGUUUUUCAAUCAAAGCUUAUUAGAAGUUAAAACUUCAAAUCUCAUAACUACACAAGCAAACUCAAUAUAAGGCACUAGAACUAUUAAUUUGGAAAAUAAUGGACAAUCAAGUGGAUGAAAAAACAAAAAGAAAAUCAAUCGAAAAUCUUACUAUUUUCACAUAGAGGAAGCUUAUUAGUUUUCUUGUAAUAGCAAGCAAUGAAUCUGCCUUCUUUAAGUGGAAGUUCACUUUAUCGACCUACAUGAAAGCCACAGCAUUAUUCUUUAACUCCAUUAUCAACUUCAAUUUUUAAUAUUUUACCAUAAAAUAAAAUUUAACAACAAAAAUCAUGAAAUUGUGCUAUUACUAUGAAAUUACAGAGUAGAGGUGAUAAAACAUCAAAUAAUGCAACAAAAACAAAACCCUAUGAAAGAGGAAACAAGGAGAAGAUACAUAGAAGAUAACAAUACUACAAUGAGUAGCAACAAAAACGAACAUUACAAGGAGAAGAAAAAUGCAAGAACGACCAUAAUCAAGUUUUGCAAUUUUGAGAGAACAAGAGAGAAUAGGUUGAAGUUGAAUUAGAACAAACUUAUUGAGAGGGUUUUGGGAUUUGGGGAAAAAGGAAUAGGAUUUCACGUUUGAGAGAAAAAGAAAAAGCAUUUUGCUAAUUGAGAGGAAAGAGGAGCGAAGAAAAAAAGAUGGAUAAGGGUUAGGGGAAAAUAAAAUUUUAUUGAAAAAAAAGUUUAAAAUAUUUAACUUUACAAAUAAGAAAAGAGAAUGUAGUCUAAAAAAACCGACGCUAAAUCAGAUUAAUUGAUGCUAAUAAUUAAUAAAACAACAAAAAAAAUUAUUUAAUAUAUUUGUGUGUGUUAGAUUGACGUUAAAUAGAUGUUAAUUAACGUCGAUGACAGAGACCGACGCUAAAUAUAGAAGCUAUAAAUAAUUUUUCGAAUAAUAAUUACUCUUCUAAUAAAUGAAAAAGGAAACCCAUAAUAACAAACAAGGACAAAAUUUAAAUUCUAAUGUCCUUGGUUAAAAGACCAAGCUACUAAAUCCUCAUUUUGAGCUUCUCAAAAAAUUUAUUUAAUACUACUAAUUGUUUUUUUAAAAACGUGUACAAAACAAAUUUAUUAGAUACUACCAUUAGAGAUAAAUUUUAAAGUUUGUUUUAACCCUAAAUAGUUUAGAUCAUUGUAAGAGUGAUAGAUCUAAGUUGAUGUUAUUUUUCAAUUUUUUUCCUCUUAGAUCUUAUGGCUCUGCAGUUAACUGCAUGAUAUAGAUGCAAAUACCUACCCUUUAAGAGUGGGAAGGAAUAAUAUAAGUUAUAGCUUCCCAUAAUUUUAUCCUCAACUUGUUGAGUAUAUAUAAAAAUAAAAAUAAAAAAUAAAAAAU